GUGUCAGCCGCCGCGGUAAGACAGAGGUGCCGAGCGUUAGGCGGAAUCACUGGGCUUAAAGCGUGUGUAGGCGGAAGCGUAAGUGCCUUGUGAAAUCCCACGGCUCAACCGUGGAACUGCUGGGCAUACUGCGUUUCUUGAGCCAAUCAGGGGUCGUCGGAACAAACGGUGGAGCGGUGAAAUGCGUAGAUAUCGUUUGGAACGCCAAAGGCGAAAGCAGACGACUGGGAUUGCGCUGACGCUGAGACACGAAAGCCAGGGGAGCAAACGGGAUUAGAUACCCCCGUAGUCC
rnacentral:rRNA from 1 species